UACGGAGGGGGCUAGCGUUGUUCGGAAUUACUGGGCGUAAAGCGCACGUAGGCGGCUUUGCAAGUCAGAGGUGAAAGCCCGGGGCUCAACCCCGGAAUAGCCUUUGAGACUGCAUCGCUUGAACAUCGGAGAGGUAAGUGGAAUUCCGAGUGUAGAGGUGAAAUUCGUAGAUAUUCGGAAGAACACCAGUGGCGAAGGCGACUUACUGGACGAUUGUUGACGCUGAGGUGCGAAAGCGUGGGGGAGCAAACAGGG
rnacentral:rRNA from 1 species